rnacentral:rRNA from 1 species
CAGAGUUUGAUCCUGGCUCAGGACGAACGCUGGCGGCGUGCUUAACACAUGCAAGUCGAGCGGUAAGGCCCUUCGGGGUACACGAGCGGCGAACGGGUGAGUAACACGUGAGCAACCUGCCCCUGACUCCGGGAUAAGCGGUGGAAACGCCGUCUAAUACCGGAUACGACCGGCCGCCUCAUGGUGGCCGGUGGAAAGUUCUUCGGUUGGGGAUGGGCUCGCGGCCUAUCAGCUUGUUGGUGGGGUAAAGGCCUACCAAGGCGAUUACGGGUAGCCGGCCUGAGAGGGCGACCGGCCACACUGGGACUGAGACACGGCCCAGACUCCUGCGGGAGGCAGCAGUGGGGAAUAUUGCGCAAUGGGCGAAAGCCUGACGCAGCGACGCCGCGUGGGGGAUGACGGCCUUCGGGUUGUAAACCUCUUUUACCACCAACGCAGGCUCCCAGUUCUCUGGGGGUUGACGGUAGGUGGGGAAUAAGGACCGGCUAACUACGUGCCAGCAGCCGCGGUAAUACGUAGGGUCCGAGCGUUGUCCGGAAUUAUUGGGCGUAAAGAGCUCGUAGGCGGCGUGUCGCGUCUGCUGUGAAAGACCGGGGCUUAACUCCGGUUCUGCAGUGGAUACGGGCAUGCUAGAGGUAGGUAGGGGAGACUGGAAUUCCUGGUGUAGCGGUGAAAUGCGCAGAUAUCAGGAGGAACACCGGUGGCGAAGGCGGGUCUCUGGGCCUUACCUGACGCUGAGGAGCGAAAGCAUGGGGAGCGAACAGGAUUAGAUACCCUGGUAGUCCAUGCCGUAAACGUUGGGCGCUAGGUGUGGGGACUUUCCACGGUUUCCGCGCCGUAGCUAACGCAUUAAGCGCCCCGCCUGGGGAGUACGGCCGCAAGGCUAAAACUCAAAGGAAUUGACGGGGGCCUGCACAAGCGGCGGAGCAUGUUGCUUAAUUCGACGCAACGCGAAGAACCUUACCAAGGUUUGAC